ensembl:lincRNA
AUGAUUAUCUGUAAAGAGGAGGAACUUAAGGAAAGGCAGUAUGUGGAAGCUGUUGAGUUGGAGGCUAAAGAAGUUCUUAAAAAAUUAUUUCCAAAGGUGUCUGUCCCUUCUCAUUUGAGUUACAGUGAAUGGUUGCAUGGAUUUGAAAAGAAAGCAAAAGAAUGUAUAGCUGGAAUUUCAAGUUCAGAAGAAGUUAAGGUUUUAAAGUUUAAGUUGAAAGAAGCCGAUGAAAUACGCACACUGUUACAGCUGGGGUGUGAUACGUAUAAGUCAGUCCUUGCAGAAACAGAAGGAAUUUUACAGAAGCUACAGAAAAGUGUGGAGGAAGAGGAAAAUAAAUGGAAAGUUAAGGUCGAUGAAUUACAAAAGACAGUUAAGCAGCUGAGAGGAGAACGAGAGCGUUUGGAGAUGGAGCUAGAGAAGGCAGAAAUUGAACGAUCUACCUAUGUUACAGAAGUGAGAGAGCUGAAAGACCUGUUGACUGAAUUGCAGAAAAAACUUGAUGAUUCAUAUUCUGAAGCAGUAAGACAGAAUGAAGAGCUAAAUUUGGUAAGAAACUUGUUCUCCACUGGGUACCAAGUAGGCUCUGAAAACACUUGUGUUGACAUGUGGAGAAACAGUCCAAACUUUUUUUUCCUUGCUAACCAUUUAUAGCUUGGCAUGUUAUAAAUUUUAAGAUAAUCUUUAUAUUCUGGUGAUUCCUAAGAUCUUUUUCAUGACUCAUAAAAUGAUUCUUUUCUUAACUCCUAACAAUGGCAUGUUUGACUUCUGACUCUGUAUUUUUAUAAAGCCUAAUUUCUCGGACAACAUCAUUGUUAGCAAAUAAAGAAACAAAACAAAUGGUUGGCCAAGUUGUGAAGAUUCUCUUCUCAAGCUGUCGUAGUUAACUGGGCCUCUCAUUUUCUAACCUGGAAGAUUAUUGAAGAUUGAAGAUAACUGCUCUUCAUUCUAGGGCAGUAGUGCAGUCCAGCUUCUUAUUUUGUCUAAUCUUCAUAAAUUAUAAAAUACAAGGAGC